CAUGAAGCCGGAAUCGCUAGUAAUCGCGGAUCAGAAUGCCGCGGUGAAUACGUUCCCGGGUCUUGUACACACCGCCCGUCACACCAUGGGAGUCGGGAAUACCCGAAGCCUGUGAGCUAACUUUUAGAGGCAGCAGUCGAAGGUAGAAUCAAUGAUUGGGGUGAAGUCGUAACAAGGUACC
rnacentral:rRNA from 1 species